rnacentral:rRNA from 1 species
UACGAAGGGGGGCUAGCGUUGCUCGGAAUUACUGGGCGUAAAGCGCACGUAGGCGGCUUCUAAGUCGGGGUGAAAUCCUGGAGCUCAACUCCAGAACUGCCUUCGAUACUGGAGAGCUCGAGUCCGGGAGAGGUGAGUGGAACUGCGAGUGUAGAGGUGAAAUUCGUAGAUAUUCGCAAGAACACCAGUGGCGAAGGCGGCUCACUGGCCCGGUACUGACGCUGAGGUGCGAAAGCGUGGGGAGCAAACAGG